rnacentral:rRNA from 1 species
CCUACGGGUGGCAGCAGUGGGGAAUAUUGCACAAUGGGGGAAACCCUGAUGCAGCGACGCCGCGUGAGCGAUGAAGUAUUUCGGUAUGUAAAGCUCUAUCAGCAGGGAAGAAAAUGACGGUACCUUACUAAGAAGCCCCUGCUAACUACGUGCCAGCGACCGCGGUAAUACGUAGGGGGCAAGCGUUAUCCUGCUUUACGGGGUGUAAAGGGAGCGUAGACGGCGAUGCAAGCCAGAUGUGAAAGCCCGGGGCUGAAACCCGGGACUGCAUUUGGAACUGUAUAGCUGGAGUGUCGGAGAGGCAGGCGGAAUUCGUAGUGUAGCGGUGAAAUGCGUAGAUAUUAGGAGGAACACCAGUGGCGAAGGCGGCCUGCUGGACGAUGACUGACGUUGAGGCUCGAAAGCGUGGGGAGCAAACAGGAUUAGAUACCCCGGUAGUC